UAGAUCGGUGAACUUCUGACAGUGCUCCGGUCGAUACAAAAGCGUUAAGUGGACCGCCUGGGGAGUACGGUCGCAAGGCUAAAACUCAAAGGAAUUGACGGGGGCUCACACAAGCGGUGGAGCAUGUUGCUUAAUUCGAUGCAACGCGAAGAACCUUAUCCUGGACUUGACAUGUUUGGAUGCCUCCCUGGAAACAGGGUUGGUUGCCCUUCGGGGUGAAACAUUCACAGGUGCUGCAUGGCAGUCGUCAGCUCGUGUCGUGAGAUGUUGGGUUAAGUCCCGUAACGAGCGAAACCCCUGUCGUUAGUUGCCAGCGCGUAAUGGCGGGGACUCUAGCGAGACUGCCGGUGUUAAACCGGAGGAAGGUGGGGAUGACGUCAAGUCCUCAUGGCCUUUAUGUCCAGGGCUGCAAACGUGCUACAAUGGCGUGUACAAACCGACGCAAGACCGCGAGGUGGAGCAAAUCGGAAAAAGCACGCCCCAGUUCGGAUUGGAGUCUGCAACUCGACUCCAUGAAGUCGGAAUCGCUAGUAAUCGCGUAUCAGCGUGACGCGGUGAAUGUGUUCCUGAGCANUGUACACACCGCCCGUCAAGUCAUGGAAGCUGGGAGCGCAAGAAGUCG
rnacentral:rRNA from 1 species